CCCGGCAUAUGCCGACAGUGUGAUAGGGUAUCCUAAGUGCUUAUACUUAGUAUAGGCUUUUUUUAAGAGUAAAUAUCUUGAAGAAUAAGUGGUGGGCAAGACUGGUGCCAGCAGCCGCGGU
rnacentral:rRNA from 1 species